GGGAUGUAGGAUGUGGGGUGGGGAGGGAGGCGUGGGACCGCUCGACGGCUCUGUUCAGAGACGGUAGGAAUACUGUAACAGUGGGAAGCGAGCAGGGAAACGCACUGUGUCAGACUGAUAGGGGAAAAACACCACCCUCCGAUCACCUGGCGGUCCUUGACCAGAUGCUGCUCAGCAGUGGAGAGCUGCAUAUCCAGGAAUGCCCCGGAACCCAACUUAGGUGACUGCCCAAGCAGGCCGCUUGGUGUUUGUUGGCUGAUGGAAGCCCCCUCUGUCACUUGGCUGAUGAUUAAUUUCACAAAAGAACAACAGCAUCACUGAUGCGGUGGUGCCUUUUUUCGUUCAAGCUGAAGUUGUGGUCACCGUUUCCUUUGGUCUUGAACAGUGUGGCACUAGGCUUGACCCAGUGUGAAAUCUGAACUGUGGCAGUAAAGUUCAGUUCUGAAGGAGGCUCCAACUCUUGGGCUGAUGCGGGCAGCAAAAAGUUCCAUCAUUCACAGAGGAUGUGGAGACAGUGAGGCAGCAAAAUAGAAAACAGCCCAGUUUAGAAAGAAAGGCAUUUUCAAACAUCUUCAGGGUGCUUCCGGCUCUGAUAGUAAUCACUGCUAAAAGCAAUUAGUCCUUCUGGGCUUCUCAGGAAACUCAGGAAUUUGGGGACAAAAUGGAGAACUCACUGCUCUAACAAAUGACAUUCCCCUUCGUCAGCCCCAGAUAUGCCUGGCUUCUGACUUCUCCACAUGCAAAAAAGCGGCCUCUCAGGUGCAACUUUUUUCAGUAUUGCUUGUUCUGAAAUAUUUAAGCGUGGGAUCUGUCCCUCUCUGUUCUUUGCAGGAGGUCAUUUCUCACUGUGAAAGGCUUUCUAAGGAGCAUGAGAAGCAGCUCUUUGACACCACGAGGCUGAGCAAGCAAAAGGGUGGUUUGAAAUCUUUGAGCAAAAAGAGGGGAAAAAAGCUGGAAGCAUGUUGGCAUCUGUUCUACUUCCUUGCACUGCACACAUCUGUCCGAUUGAUACCAUGUUUUUUCAUCACCUCAGAUGCAGGCUGAAAAAAAAUAUAUAUUUUU
rnacentral:lncRNA from 7 species